AGCCCCGUAGUGCAGCGGCCAAGCAUAGGGGACUCUGGAUCCCUUGACGGCGGUUCGAAUCCGCCCGGGGCUA
rnacentral:tRNA from 1 species